GAUGAACGCUGGCGGCGUGCCUAAUACAUGCAAGUCGAGCGAACAGAUGAGAAGCUUGCUUCUCUGAUGUUAGCGGCGGACGGGUGAGUAACACGUGGGUAAUCUACCUAUAAGACUGGGAUAACUCCGGGACACCGGGGCCAAUACCGGAUAAUAUUUUGAACCGCAUGGUUCAAUAGUGAAAGACGGUUUCGGCUGUCACCUAUAGAUGGACCCGCGCCGUAUUAGCUAGUUGGUAAGGUAACGGCUUACCAAGGCGACGAUACGUAGCCGACCUGAGAGGGUGAUCGGCCACACUGGAACUGAGACACGGUCCAGACUCCUACGGGAGGCAGCAGUAGGGAAUCUUCCGCAAUGGGCGAAAGCCUGACGGAGCAACGCCGCAUGAGUGAUGAAGGUCUUCGGAUCGUAAAACUCUGUUGUUAGGGAAGAACAAAUUUGUUAGUAACUGAACAAGUCUUGACGGUACCUAACCAGAAAGCCACGGCUAACUACGUGCCAGCCGCCGCCGUAA
rnacentral:rRNA from 1 species